UGGUGCACUUCUCUUCUUUCAUCCCUCCUUCCUUUCCUUCUCUCCCUCUGGGCACGAGUAGCGUCUCUCCUCCUCUUCACGCUGCCACACCUCUGCUUCUCUUCCUCUGCGACGCAUCCACGAGCGGGGAAACCGACGGAGGACGAACAGAGGGGAAUCAAUAGAGCCGGCCCAUUGAAGGAGACAGGCGGGGUGGUGUGCCUUCUCAACCUUACAGAGCAGGCAAACGGCAAGAAAUCACACCGUGAUACACGUGUAUUCACGUGUAGGCUUAUUUAUUCACAUGACGCCACCCAGGACAAGUGCUUUGGAGGUAGAAGCAAGUGUGUAUGGAGGGAUGAUCACAGUGGAUGCUUGGACAAUACAACCCCGCGUACUUCUCCUCCUACCAUGGCAACUGGUGGGUGGAGGAUAGGAGUGUGUGUGUGUGUGUGUUUCAGGGGCCACACGGCAGAUGCCUUGGGGUGAUGCCUUACAGCUCAGCAGCUGCAGGAAUCUAAACUCUCACAUACACACACACACACACACUCACACACACUCACCAUUGAGGUGAAGAGAUCAGUAUGGCUCGUUUAUGGCACAUUAUCACUCAUUAUCACACACACACACACACACACACACACACACACAGCAACUAGGAACUAGUCAGUGUGUCAUCUAGUGAACUCAACACUGUGUUGGUAACACUCUCUCUCUCUCUCUCUCUCACACACACACACACACACACACAUGGGAGCGCCAGCAUAAUCUCUGCAGGCAACUGUGACGCGCUUAUGAUGCUCACGUUCACCUGCAGGGGUUGCGCUGUCGAUCUCACACACACACACACACACACACAUUUGUGUAAAUAUGAAGUCACACCGUGACGGUGUGUGAGUUUGAGGCUGAGUGCUGGCAUAAUCUCAGCUGGCAACUGUGAGUGUGAGACAGCCUCGCAGGGGCUGCUGGGAUUGCGCCAAGCCCAGCAUCUCCGCCCCCUUCAGGCUCCGCCCACAAACAUCAUGGAUGUUGGUUUAUAUCAUAUUCAGCUAUAUGCAUGUUGGACAAACAGCAGCAACACAAAGGCAACAUUAGAACCGAGAUUUUCUCAGUUCUACGCAAAUGAAGUAUGACGCUAUAAAGUGACAAAUCCAGAUGAUUGCCUCGAAAGAUUCCUCAGACCAUUCCUAAAGCUCGUGUGGUCCGACAUUUUCACAAACGAUUUUCACACUGAUUAGUGCAUUAUAUAUUUUGUGUUGAAGUAGGUAGCUAUAGUAGUAGAUGUGAGAGCACGAUGCACGAUGUGCUGUGUAUUGAGAUGCUUUUCUGCGCACCACGGUUGUAAAGAGUAGUUAUUUGAAUUACUGUAGAUUCCUGUCAGCUCGAACAAGUCUGGUCAUUCUUCUCUGACCUUCCUCAUCAACCAGGUGUUAAGGUACUGUAUACAGGUGUUCCUAAUAAAGUGGAUGGUGUGUAUAUGAAGCAUACAUAUACAGGAGUCUUUCCUGCAGCACAAAUGAUUUAAAAUGCUUCUUUGGAUGUGUCUUUGACUCUCGACUGUGUGUUAAUGCAGGGGUGAUGUGAGUCAAAAGAGUCGACUCUGAAUCAAACAAACUGAGUCAAAUGAACUGAAUCACUGAAAAGAGCUAGAAUAGAAUAGCUACUGCUGCUACAGUAUCUUUGGUAAUGAGUUGAAUCUGGUGUUCACAAGUACACAAUUUCACAAUGUCUGCUUCUUUCAUUUUGUACUGGAGCUACAAGCUAACAGGUACGAAACGCUUAUAUCUACCAGUCUAGCAUUGCACUAAAUCAUUACACACUCAAUCACAAAGACAUUGUUUGCUUCAGUGACACCAUUUCUUUCAUAAAAUAACAAAAAGAAGAAGCAUUAAAAAUUGAACAUACAAAUUAAAUUGGCACUUUAACAUCAUCCAGAUCACUUUUAACACUCAACUCCGCCUUCAAACCGUAGGCCACGCCUCCUACUCGAGUCUGACGUCGGACUGUUUUUAGCUUUGUGACGUUUUAGUCGACGUGAGUGUGUGAUUAUUUAUUUGCACAAUGUCAAACUAGCUAAAUGUAAAAUGAAAGAAACAAACAUCAGACACCAAACAUGUUUUUGCUAAUCGUCUACCUUUGAGGUUUGUUUUUUUUAAUCCAGGGCGACUCUCACGCCUGGUGUGCGGCGAUGCUUUCUGAUGUUGAUGAUACUGCAUCAGGAACUGAUUGGAUGAUAUCGAGGAGCCAACGGUUCCUGAUGCAUCCCCUUCAGCAUCGAAAGAUACACUCUGACUUCAAGUCACGCUGCAUUUUACACCACAACAGUGGAGCGCUGACACUGGAGACUCCUUCCAUAAAUGUUAAAUAAACAUCUCCUCACAGAACACAGCACAAGAAAACAGUUUGUACGUUUUUCUUUGUUAAAUAACGACAUUUUUAAAAAAAAGCUGUUUAUUAUUUGCAUUAAAUUAUGUAUUUAUUCGUCUGCCAUACAAGUUCCUGUGAAUGGGUUGUUACUACAGAAAUGAUAAUGUAUUAGAAUCAACCUUCUGACCAAUCAGAGUGGAGAAUACAACAGCGCUGUGGUAUAAAAUGUUUUUAAUCUAUUCACUGAUUUCAGUUUUAAAAAUGACGCGUUCUUUGAUUCAGAGUUUGUAGGUUGUAUAUGUUAUGUGAUGCAUAAUAAAUAAAAAUAAAGUUGCGGCAAAAAUUAAAAAAAUUGGUGCUGUGAUUGAAAAGAUGGAAACACAUCAGACCUACAUUUCUUCUCCUGAGGUUUUAAUUGUAGUC